GAUGCAGAUUUGGAUUUUCUAUUUCAUAGUUAUUGAAAUCAUAAUGAGAAUGAAGUACUGCCACUAAGGUAAAGGUGCUAACUUGCAAGGAGCUGUUCUCAAAACAUUGGGUGACAAAGAAUUCACUUUUACAAAAAUCGAGCAGGAUAUUAAAGACAGUGAACUGUAGAACAAAUAUGGCGAAGCUGCAUGAAGUCUAUGUUGAAUUUUAUUAUUGAAAAAAAUAUGCUCUUCAGAUUUAAUGUUAGUUUUUAUUGUUUAACAGUAAUUGCAGUUUUCGAAUACCUGUAAAAUAAACCUAAUUCUUAAA